CAGGCGAUUGUUGGAAAACUUACGAGAAUUGAACAAACCCAAACGAGGGCGAUGAAACAAGCGGCUCUUUUGGGCGUCAUCCGACUCGGCGAUACCCAAUAACGAUCCACGGAGAUGACACAGAGAUUUAAGAUGGAUGCAGUACUGACCAGGACGUCGAACGAGUGCCACACGUCGCUACGAAAAGGCAAUUUGACAAGGAAAAAGCCAAUAUUUGAAUAAAUACUACAAUUAAAAUUAGACGGGUAACGUUCCCUGGUCACCGCGGCGAUGACCAAGGCGUUGCCCAGGACGGUGGCCAGACAAAAGGAGAACAACACCAAAGCCAAAAUGGGAUUGCCGUCAUCCCAAUCUUCUUUACCUGCCAUCACCUCAGUAGUGUUGACGUUUUCCCUGUUCACUUAUCUUCGCCAUUGGAUUACACCGAAUAUCUUAUGCACCACCGCUUAUUACGGACCCUUAGUGAAAACUUUAAAAAGUGGCAAGUACUGCACCAACACCAUCAGUGUAAAGUUGGCGUGGAACUGAGAAACAACAUCAAAUCCAAUUGAUUCAGAGAUAACAAAGUAUUUCAAAUUCUCUUCCUGUUCGUCGAGUUGAGGUUUAAGUAAUGAGCCAUUCUAGCCAUGAUUAAAGCAGUAGCAAUUCUCCUCUUUAUGGUGGCGGUAGUUUUGUCUGGGGCCACAGAAACUCAACAGAGAUUUACCCAUGGGCCCUAUCACUAUGAAAUUCUGGAUAGGAAUGUUCCUCAGCAGCCGAUAGGUGAUGAAAUCGCAAGAGAAUGGAAUAACAAAUUAAUUGUGUACAAGUAUCGAUUGAUUCGAUUGGCCCGUUUGGGUAUCCGACAGUACAAACUCAAGACGAAGGCUACUAAUACUCAUAACCCGGAAGUUUACAAACAAGUAGCACAGCAGCCCAAUCAGUAUCAAGUGGUACUGCCGGAUUUGCCGGAACCCUUGGUGAUCGCGACGCAUUACAAGAACCUUCCGGAACCAAAUGGAACUACUAAAGAAACUCUCCAUCAAGAACUAAAGGAUUGACUGGACUAAAAGUAUCAACCGGCUUCAAUGGAAAUCAACAUGGACUUCAAACUGAAACUGUUGGAACUCCCAAAACUCGUUAAAGGCUGAAGUCGGCUAUUUGACAGUUACAAAAUGCUAUUUUCUCUCCAGUGUUUUCUAUGCCCAAGAAUCAGAUUAAAGAAACUGUUCGACAUUAUUACGUUUAAAUAAAAAAUUGUGAGAUUAA